rnacentral:rRNA from 1 species
GACGAACGCUGGCGGCGUGCCUAAUACAUGCAAGUUGAGCGAUGAAGAUUGGUGCUUGCACCAAUUUGAAGAGCAGCGAACGGGUGAGUAACGCGCGGGGAAUCUGCCUUUGAGCGGGGGACAACAUUUGGAAACGAAUGCUAAUACCGCAUAACAACUUUAAACAUAAGUUUUAAGUUUGAAAGAUGCAAUUGCAUCACUCAAAGAUGAUCCCGCGUUGUAUUAGCUAGUUGGUGAGGUAAAGGCUCACCAAGGCGAUGAUACAUAGCUGACCUGAGAGGGUGAUCGGCCACAUUGGGACUGAGACACGGCCCAAACUCCUACGGGAGGCAGCAGUAGGGAAUCUUCGGCAAUGGACGAAAGUCUGACCGAGCAACGCCGCGUGAGUGAAGAAGGGUUUCGGAUCGUAAAACUCUGUUGGUAGAGAAGAACGUUGGUGAGAGUGGAAAGCUCAUCAAGUGACGGUAACUACCCAGAAAGGGACGGCUAACUACGUG